UAGCUAGUUGGUGAGGUAACGGCUUACCAAGGCGACGAUCUGUAGCGGGUCUGAGAGGAUGAUCCGCCACACUGGAACUGAGACACGGUCCAGACUCCUACGGGAGGCAGCAGUGGGGAAUUUUGGACAAUGGGGGCAACCCUGAUCCAGCCAUGCCGCGUGAGUGAAGAAGGCCUUCGGGUUGUAAAGCUCUUUCGGCCGGGAAGAAAUCGCAUGGGCCAAUACCCUGUGUGGAUGACGGUACCGGAAUAAGAAGCACCGGCUAACUACGUGCCAGCAGCCGCGGUAAUACGUAGGGUGCGAGCGUUAAUCGGAAUUACUGGGCGUAAGGCGUGCGCAGGCGGUUUUGUAAGACAGGCGUGAAACCCCCGGGCUCAACCUGGGAACUGCGUUUGUGACUGUAAGGCUAGAGUACGGCAGAGGGGGGUGGAAUUCCACGUGUAGCAGUGAAAUGCGUAGAGAUGUGGAGGAACACCAAUGGCGAAGGCAGCCCCCUGGGUCGAUACUGACGCUCAUGCACGAAAGCGUGGGUAGCAAACAGGAUUAGAUACCCUGGUAGUCCACGCCCUAAACUAUGUCGACUAGGUGUUGGGUGGGUAAAACCAUUUAGUACCGUAGCUAACGCGUGAAGUUGACCGCCUGGGGAGUACGGCCGCAAGGUUAAAACUCAAAGGAAUUGACGGGGACCCGCACAAGCGGUGGAUGAUGUGGAUUAAUUCGAUGCAACGCGAAAAACCUUACCUACCCUUGACAUGCCAGGAACUUGCCAGAGAUGGCUUGGUGCCCGAAAGGGAGCCUGGACACAGGUGCUGCAUGGCUGUCGUCAGCUCGUGUCGUGAGAUGUUGGGUUAAGUCCCGCAACGAGCGCAACCCUUGUCGUUAAUUGCCAUCAUUUAGUUGGGCACUUUAGCGAGACUGCCGGUGACAAACCGGAGGAAGGUGGGGAUGACGUCAAGUCCUCAUGGCCCUUAUGGGUAGGGCUUCACACGUCAUACAAUGGUCGGUACAAAGGGUCGCCAAGCCGCGAGGUGGAGCCAAUCCCAGAAAGCCGAUCGUAGUCCGGAUUGCAGGCUGCAACUCGCCUGCAUGAAGUCGGAAUCACUAGUAAUCGUGGAUCAGCAUGUCACGGUGAAUACGUUCCCGGGUCUUGUACACACCGCCCGUCACACCAUGGGAGCGGGUUCCGCCAGAAGUAGGUAGCCUAACCGCAAGGAGGGCGCUUACCACGGCGGGGUUCGUGACUGGGGUGAAGUCGUAACAAGGUAGCCGUAGGGGAACCUGCGGCUG
rnacentral:rRNA from 1 species